AAAAGCCUCUAAGCAUCAGGUAACAUCAAAUCGUACCCCAAACCGACACAGGUGGUCAGGUAGAGAAUACCAAGGCGCUUGAGAGAACUCGGGUGAAGGAACUAGGCAAAAUGGUGCCGUAACUUCGGGAGAAGGCACGCUGAUAUGUAGGUGAAGUCCCUUGCGGAUGGAGCUGAAAUCAGUCGAAGAUACCAGCUGGCUGCAACUGUUUAUUAAAAACACAGCACUGUGCAAACACGAAAGUGGACGUAUACGGUGUGACGCCUGCCCGGUGC
rnacentral:rRNA from 1 species